UACGGAGGGUGCAAGCGUUGUCCGGAUUUAUUGGGCGUAAAGCGCACGUAGGCGGCUUCGCAAGUCCCAUGUGAAAGCCCACGGCUUAACCGUGGAAGUGCAUGGGAAACUGCAGAGCUUGAGUACUUAAGAGGAUCGCGGAAUUCCCGGUGUAGAGGUGAAAUUCGUAGAUAUCGGGAGGAACACCAGUGGCGAAGGCGGCGAUCUGGGAAGAUACUGACGCUGAGGUGCGAAAGCGUGGGGAGCAAACAGG
rnacentral:rRNA from 1 species